rnacentral:rRNA from 1 species
UACGAAGGGGGCUAGCGUUGCUCGGAAUCACUGGGCGUAAAGCGCACGUAGGCGGACUCUUAAGUCAGGGGUGAAAUCCUGGAGCUCAACUCCAGAACUGCCUUUGAUACUGGCGAGCUUGAGUCCGGGAGAGGUGAGUGGAACUGCGAGUGUAGAGGUGAAAUUCGUAGAUAUUCGCAAGAACACCAGUGGCGAAGGCGGCUCACUGGCCCGGUACUGACGCUGAGGUGCGAAAGCGUGGGGAGCAAACAGG